UGGGGAAUAUUGGACAAUGGGCGCAAGCCUGAUCCAGCCAUGCCGCGUGAGUGAUGAAGGCCCUAGGGUUGUAAAGCUCUUUCACCGGUGAAGAUAAUGACGGUAACCGGAGAAGAAGCCCCGGCUAACUACGUGCCAGCAGCCGCGGUAAUACGUAGGUGGCAAGCGUUGUCCGGAUUUAUUGGGCGUAAAGGGGGCGCAGGCUGCUUCUUAAGUCUGAUGUGAAAGCCCACGGCUUAACCGUGGAAGUGCAUUGGAAACUGGGAAGCUUGAGUACAGAAGAGGAAAGUGGAACUCCAGGUGUAGCGGUGGAAUGCGUAGAUAUAUGGAAGAACACCAGUGGCGAAAGCGACUUUCUGGUCUGUCACUGACGCUGAGGCCCGAAAGCGUGGGUAGCAAACAGG
rnacentral:rRNA from 1 species